rnacentral:tRNA from 1 species
CAUUAAGAAGCUAUGCAACAGCACUAGCCUUUUAAGCUAGAGACAGAGGUACAAAUCUCCUCCUUAAUGG